rnacentral:rRNA from 1 species
UACGAAGGGGGCUAGCGUUGCUCGGAAUCACUGGGCGUAAAGCGCACGUAGGCGGACUCUUAAGUCGGUGGUGAAAUCCUGGAGCUCAACUCCAGAACUGCCUUCGAUACUGAGAGUCUCGAGUCCGGGAGAGGUGAGUGGAACUGCGAGCGUAGAGGUGAAAUUCGUAGAUAUUCGCAAGAACACCAGUGGCGAAGGCGGCUCACUGGCCCGGUACUGACGCUGAGGUGCGAAAGCGUGGGGAGCAAACAGG